AUGCAUGGUGCGGACAAUGAGGCUGGAGCUCCUUGUAGCGCUCUCAUGCUUCAUACAAGGACUUUUGCUCAGUUUGGUAAAAGAACAUGAUCUCAUUUUGGAGCUU